GACAGCCACCAUGCCAUGAGGCGUUUCAGAAGCCCUGCAGAGAGGCUCACACAGACAUGCCUUGAGGCUUUCCAUCAACAGCCAGCACCGCUGGGAGUGGAGUGAGCGCGUGGAAGGGCCACCCUCCAAGUGGAUUCUCCUGCUGCAGCCAAGCCUUCAAACGACCACAGAUCAGCAACCUGCUGCCUGGAAUUAUUGAAGAGCUGAUCACGGUCAUGGAGCUAAUUUACAGCCAAGCUGGAAUUCACACGCAGGCCAUGCCGUACAGGUCAUCCGAGUGAGUGUCAGGCAUUGGAGACGCAGACGUGAAAACAGGAAGAAAAAAAAAGAAUCACCAAGAUACCAGACCUGAUAUUGCUGAGCUGCUAAAGCAAUGCCAGUGACCAUCUAGCCUCCAGAAUUGUUGUCGUACCAGAAAAACAGAAAAUUGGUUUCAAGACACUGUUUGAAGUGAGCUGCUAUUUUACACAGCCAAGUCCAACUGUAAGAGAAAGGAGUUAGAUUUCUAUCACUUGUGACCUGAAGAGUCCUGCUCAGUGACCUGGUCUUUCCCCCAGGGAGUCCGUGGUCGUCCCUCCAGAUACCGUAAGUUUAUUCACAGGUAAAACGGAACACUACUUGUUAGGAUUGUUUAAGAGCUGCAGGAUGCC